rnacentral:rRNA from 1 species
AUUGAACGCUGGCGGCAGGCCUAACACAUGCAAGUCGAGCGAGCGGCGGACGGGUGAGUAAUGUAUGGGGACUGCCCGAUAGAGGGGGAUCACUACUGGAAACGGUGGCUAAUACCGCAUACUAUCGGAUAACCCAUAUGGGUGUAGCUAGUAGGUGGGGUAAAGGCUCACCUAGGCGACGAUCUCUAGAUGGCCUGAGAGGAUGACCAUCCACACUGGGACUGAGACACUGCCCAGACUCCUACGGAGGAAGCAGUGGGGAAUAUUGCACAAGUGGCGAAAGCCUGAUGCAGCCAGGCCGCGUGUAUGAAGAAGGCCUUAGGGUUGUAAAGUACUUGCAGCGGGGAGGCGUUACCCGCAGAAGAAGCACCGGCUAACUCCGUGCCAGCAGCCGCGGUAAUAC